rnacentral:lncRNA from 1 species
UCACGCGGGGUCCGUUUACAUCCAUUCGGGUCGAGUGGGUUUUCAUAUAUAAACACACAACCCGGUCAUUUUCUUUCCCUAUUGUUCAUAUUCUCACAACACGACGAUUAGGGUUUUCAUCCUUCAAUCCAGCGAUUAGGGUUUUCAUCAUUCUUUUCCAAUCAAACAAUCCAAGAUCCAAGUAAUCGACGCUCUGCUCUUUACGGAUCUUCAUAGAUCUUCAUAUCAACGCUCGAAUUCAAGGGUUUCUAUCUAUUCGAUCUAUUUACGACUCUUACACAUCAAUGUCGUCUCCAUCAAGGGAUCUUGAGAGUUUUUGUGCUUAAUUGAUGAUGAUGAGCUUAUGAUGAUGAUGAUGAUGAUGAUGACGACGCCGCCGCCAACGAUGACACUAAGAGAAUAACAUUUGCAAGAGGUUGGAGUUGCAUAAGGCCUUGAUGUGGAAUGAAGAUUGAGGAGCAUUAUUCUGAGGUGAUGGAUAUAGUGGGCCGCCUUUUGUUGAAAUGUUUGAUAAACUGAAUGAAAGGUGUGAAGAAGGGCUAGAAGGUAUUAGCAAGUGUACACGUGGAAUACCUUACGCCUUACAUUUGAAGAAGGAUUCAAAUGAUCUUUUCGCCAGACGUUGCCGACUACUCUUUGCUAAAGCUUAUGAUAAGAAGAGAAAGAGAUGGAGUAUGCCAACAACCUGUCAGGGGUUCGGACUAGGAUGGAAAUUCAUUUGCACAACUUAAAACAUGUCCAUAAAUGAAAACUUUGUAGGCUUCUAGGAUGAAUUUUUUCAUUCCAAACGUUUGUGUCGUUAUUUCUUAGUAACACCUUCUUUUAGCACGUGGACUUAAUCUACAUUUACUUUAUACUUGAAUAGAUGAAGAAAGUCAUCAGAGUUGAGGGAUGAGGCUGCAGAUGUAAGUUUUAGUUUCUUUAUGUUUCUUUUAUCUUUUUUUUAGUUUGUAUUUGUUGGCGCCAUGAAUUGGUACCAGCUUAAUUUGGUUAUUGCUUGGUGAUUAUUUACACGUUAACAUUGGUUGAGAGAAGGUCCUUAAAUGAAAGAUGUAAUUUGAAUCUUUCUUUUACGUGUCGAAUUGUGAGUAACGGUGCUGCAGCAAGGCAGGAUCUUUGGCAGCUGUGUGGGAGUGUUUUGGGGCUGCUAAUCGUGUCUGAACAAUCAAUAGCAGCUGCGAGAAAAGAUCAUAAACAGGAGGCCAUGCUCAGGUGAUUUGGGGUACAUAGCGGGGAUGAAUCAUAGUGUACAGACUGUGGUUUCGUAAGGUUUUUUAGGGUAUGUUAAAGGUAAAGUUGCCGGAUUGUUGGGGUGUGCGGGUAAGGUCGGAGGCCAAAUCCCAAAGGUAGCCAAGCAUGAUAAGAAGAAGAAGCAACAUGGACGUGCUCAAAAGUGUAUCUAGCAUAACCGCCGUUCAUCACCGCCGGCACCAAGUGUAAGAAAUAUGUUAAAUCGGAGGGAUUUAGCACUGUUAUAACUAGAUAUGCUCCCUCGGGACUACUGGAAUGUAUUUGGAAGCUACACGUUUGUCCUUUCAAUAUAUGGAAUAAAGUACUAUUGUAACUUUUUUGUUUACAUGAUUACAUUUAAUAAAAAUAUUUUAUUUUAGUAUUUACAUGUUACACUUAUAUUAAUUUAUUGUUUUAUCUUUGAAAUGCCUUUUGUCCAACGUGUUAAUGCACGACUACAAAAUUGCAUUUUUCU